rnacentral:misc_RNA from 1 species
GAUGAAGAACGUAGCGAAAUGCGAUAAGUAAUGUGAAUUGCAGAAUUCAGUGAAUCAUCGAAUCUUUGAACGCAAAUUGCGCCCGCCAGUAUUCUGGCGGGCAUGCCUGUUCGAGCGUCAUUUCAACCAUCAAGCCCUGCUUGCGUUGGGGUCCUGCGGCUGCCCGCAGGCCCUGAAAACCAGUGGCGGGCUCGCUAGUCACACCGAGCGCAGUAAUACAUCUCGCUUUGGGCGUGCGGCGGGUUCUUGCCGUUAAACACCCCCUUUUUACCAAGGUUGACCUCGGAUCAGGUAGGAAUACCCGCUGAACUUAAGCAUAUCAAUAAGCGGAGGA